rnacentral:rRNA from 1 species
UGGGGAAUAUUGCACAAUGGGCGCAAGCCUGAUGCAGCCAUGCCGCGUGUAUGAAGAAGGCCUUCGGGUUGUAAAGUACUUUCAGCGGGGAGGAAGGGAGUAAAGUUAAUACCUUUGCUCAUUGACGUUACCCGCAGAAGAAGCACCGGCUAACUCCGUGCCAGCAGCCGCGGUAAUACGGAGGGUGCAGGCGUUAAUCGGAAUUACUGGGCGUAAAGCGCACGCAGGCGGUUUGUUAAGUCAGAUGUGAAAUCCCCGGGCUCAACCUGGGAACUGCAUCUGAUACUGGCAAGCUUGAGUCUCGUAGAGGGGGGUAGAAUUCCAGGUGUAGCGGUGAAAUGCGUAGAGAUCUGGAGGAAUACCGGUGGCGAAGGCGGCCCCCUGGACGAAGACUGACGCUCAGGUGCGAAAGCGUGGGGAGCAAACAGG